rnacentral:tRNA from 1 species
GGCCCCAUCGUCUAGUGGUUAGGACACCGCCCUUUCACGGCGGUAACACGAGUUCGAUCCUCGUUGGGGUCA